GUCGAGAGAACAGACGAGGAGCUUGCUCCUCUGACGUUAGCGGCGGACGGGUGAGUAACACGUGGAUAACCUACCUAUAAGACUGGGAUAACUUCGGGAAACCGGAGCUAAUACCGGAUAAUAUAUUGAACCGCAUGGUUCAAUAGUGAAAGACGGUUUUGCUGUCACUUAUAGAUGGAUCCGCGCCGCAUUAGCUAGUUGGUAAGGUAACGGCUUACCAAGGCGACGAUGCGUAGCCGACCUGAGAGGGUGAUCGGCCACACUGGAACUGAGACACGGUCCAGACUCCUACGGGAGGCAGCAGUAGGGAAUCUUCCGCAAUGGGCGAAAGCCUGACGGAGCAACGCCGCGUGAGUGAUGAAGGUCUUCGGAUCGUAAAACUCUGUUAUUAGGGAAGAACAAAUGUGUAAGUAACUAUGCACGUCUUGACGGUACCUAAUCAGAAAGCCACGGCUAACUACGCGCCAGCAGCCGCGGUAAUACGUAGGUGGCAAGCGUUAUCCGGAAUUAUUGGGCGUAAAGCGCGCGUAGGCGGUUUUUUAAGUCUGAUGUGAAAGCCCACGGCUCAACCGUGGAGGGUCAUUGGAAACUGGAAAACUUGAGUGCAGAAGAGGAAAGUGGAAUUCCAUGUGUAGCGGUGAAAUGCGCAGAGGUAUGGAGGAACACCAGUGGCGAAGGCGACUUUCUGGUCUGU
rnacentral:rRNA from 1 species